GAAAGGCAGUAGAUACGUUGCAAAGUUUCCUUACGACGCCUUGUCCUCGCCUCUCUACAUAAUUAUCACAACUAAGUAUUUCUAAUUUUUUUUUCAUUUCUGACACCCAUUUUUAAUAACGUGUACCACAGUGCUUAUUCCUGUUAUUAUUUCUGUUCCUCGAAAAGUUAUUAUUUGGGUGAACACAGCGUCUUUCUCAGGACACUGAGUAGCUUUUAAUACAAUUAUUUAAGCGUAUUUGUUGAAUGUAGGUUUUAAAAUACUUUGCUCCUAAGUAUUAGACGCCAGAAAAAGACAUCGGCCAGCGAAAUUCGCAGAAUAUGGUGAACAUGUGGAUCAUCCAUACACCACUCCUGGCUUUCGCCAUCGUGUCAAAUAUCUUCGCAUAUGAGGAUAGAUGCAACGACGCAGUAUUAGAAAAAGAAUGUAAGGAAAAAGACAAGAAGUACGCCUGCCUUAUAAGUGAUGAUUCCGGGACUUACAAGACAUGCGUUGAAAAGGGUACCAACUGCAGCGUAUACUGGAAAAACCGUUAUUGUAAGCAGGAGAAUUAUUCUGUGCACUGCAAGAAUUAUGAACAGAGACGCUGCGAUUGCCAGUGCUGUAAAGAGACUUUUUUUGAUUUUCGGAUAGGACGGUCAUUGUGUGACGAGAACGACGUUGCUUGGGGAAAGUAGAUUCUUAUUCGUCGUGCAAGCACGAUUCGACACCGUUUUAGGACACGUCAGGGAAGUGUUAUUGGAAAGUGCUGUUUCGCGAAGAAUCCUGCACAUGUGGCUACGGAAGCUUGGCUUAUAUGGUUUCUCUAUUUUUCAUCUUGUAAAAAUAAAUUUUUUUCACGGG
rnacentral:lncRNA from 1 species